rnacentral:rRNA from 1 species
GACGAACGCUGGCGGCGUGCUUAACACAUGCAAGUCGAACGGAAAGGCCCUGCUUUUGUGGGGUGCUCGAGUGGCGAACGGGUGAGUAACACGUGAGUAACCUGCCCUUGACUUUGGGAUAACUUCAGGAAACUGGGGCUAAUACCGGAUAGGAGCUCCUGCUGCAUGGUGGGGGUUGGAAAGUUUCGGCGGUUGGGGAUGGACGCGCGGCUUAUCAGCUUGUUGGUGGGGUAGUGGCUUACCAAGGCUUUGACGGGUAGCCGGCCUGAGAGGGUGACCGGCCACAUUGGUACUGAGAUACGGCCCAGACUCCUACGGGAGGCAGCAGUGGGGAAUAUUGCACAAUGGGCGGAAGCCUGAUGCAGCAACGCCGCGUGCGGGAUGACGGCCUUCGGGUUGUAAACCGCUUUCGCCUGUGACGAAGCGUGAGUGACGGUAAUGAGUAAAGAAGCACCGGCUAACUACGUG